rnacentral:rRNA from 1 species
UACGUAGGUGGCAAGCGUUAUCCGGAUUUAUUGGGCGUAAAGGGAACGCAGGCGGUCUUUUAAGUCUGAUGUGAAAGCCCCCGGCUUAACCGAGGAAUUGCAUCGGAAACUGUGUUUCUUGAGUGCAGAAGAGGAGAGUGGAACUCCAUGUGUAGCGGUGGAAUGCGUAGAUAUAUGGAAGAACACCAGUGGCGAAGGCGGCUCUCUGGUCUGUAACUGACGCUGAGGCUCGAAAGCAUGGGUAGCGAACAGG